UAAAAAGCCGUACAUCUUUAAAGUCCGAUGCAGUGAUGAAAUUCGGUCUUGCGCAAUGGGAAUCCGUGAACCGUGUCAGGUUGGGAACAAAGCAGCACUAAGCGGAACCUCUCAUGUGCCGUGAGGCAGCCGGGUGGAGCUGCAGCCGGGCUUUGGGAUGUGCGGUUUUUA
rnacentral:SRP_RNA from 1 species